GAUGAACGCUGGCGGCGUGCUUAACACAUGCAAGUCGAACGGGAAACCUUUUAUUGAAGCUUCGGCAGAUUUAGCUGGUUUCUAGUGGCGGACGGGUGAGUAACGCGUGGGUAACCUGCCUUAUACAGGGGGAUAACAACCAGAAAUGGUUGCUAAUACCGCAUAAGCGCACAGGACCGCAUGGUCCGGUGUGAAAAACUCCGGUGGUAUAAGAUGGACCCGCGUUGGAUUAGCUAGUUGGCAGGGUAACGGCCUACCAAGGCGACGAUCCAUAGCCGGCCUGAGAGGGUGAACGGCCACAUUGGGACUGAGACACGGCCCAGACUCCUACGGGAGGCAGCAGUGGGGAAUAUUGCACAAUGGGGGAAACCCUGAUGCAGCGACGCCGCGUGAAGGAAGAAGUAUCUCGGUAUGUAAACUUCUAUCAGCAGGGAAGAUAGUGACGGUACCUGACUAAGAAGCCCCGUCUAACUACGUG
rnacentral:rRNA from 1 species